rnacentral:lncRNA from 10 species
UGAAAAAGGUUGAAAUAUUGCAAGAAUUAUCUAAAUGUGACACACAGAUAUGAAGUGAGCAUAUAUUGUUAGAAAAAUGGCACUGACAGACUUGCUGAAUACUGGGUUGCCACAAACCUUCAAUUUGCAAAAGAUGCAGUAUCUGCAAAGCACAAGAAAAUGAGGUAUGCCUGUAUGUUCUAUGCACUGGGUUAAAUGUUGACAAUCAAAAACUAAUUAUGCCAUUUACUGAGGAUUUAUAUGACAGGCAUUAUAGUAAAUGUUUAGCAUAUAUUUUCUCAUUUAUUUUUUGUCUUCACAAUAGUCUUAGGAAUUGGAUAUUACUAUAGCCCAUUUUAUAGCCAAAAAAUUCUCACCCAGAGCUUUAAAUAAUAGCUAGUUAGCAGGGAACCAAGAUUCAAACCCAAGAAUCUCUGACUCCCAACCCUAUGUUUAACCAGAACAUCACGCUGCCACCAAGAAACUUAUGGUCAUGUUUCUUGACAUUAUUUGUGUCAGAAUUACUUGGGGUGCUUAUUUAGAAUGCAAAUU